GUCGAGCGAGCUUGCCUAGAUGAUUUUAGUGCUUGCACUAAAUGAAACUACCCUUUAGCGAGCGGCGGACGGGUGAGUAACACGUGGGUAACCUGCCCAAGAGACUGGGAUAACACCUGGAAACAGAUGCUAAUACCGGAUAACAACACUAGACGCAUGUCUAGAGUUUGAAAGAUGGUUCUGCUAUCACUCUUGGAUGGACCUGCGGUGCAUUAGCUAGUUGGUAAGGUAACGGCUUACCAAGGCAAUGAUGCAUAGCCGAGUUGAGAGACUGAUCGGCCACAUUGGGACUGAGACACGGCCCAAACUCCUACGGGAGGCAGCAGUAGGGAAUCUUCCACAAUGGACGAAAGUCUGAUGGAGCAACGCCGCGUGAGUGAAGAAGGGUUUCGGCUCGUAAAGCUCUGUUGGUAGUGAAGAAAGAUAGAGGUAGUAACUGGCCUUUAUUUGACGGUAAUUACUUAGAAAGUCACGGCUAACUACGUGCCAGCAGCCGCGGUAAUACGUAGGUGGCAAGCGUUGUCCGGAUUUAUUGGGCGUAAAGCGAGUGCAGGCGGUUCAAUAAGUCUGAUGUGAAAGCCUUCGGCUCAACCGGAGAAUUGCAUCAGAAACUGUUGAACUUGAGUGCAGAAGAGGAGAGUGGAACUCCAUGUGUAGCGGUGGAAUGCGUAGAUAUAUGGAAGAACACCAGUGGCGAAGGCGGCUCUCUGGUCUGCAACUGACGCUGAGGCUCGAAAGCAUGGGUAGCGAACAG
rnacentral:rRNA from 1 species